rnacentral:lncRNA from 1 species
CUAACUUCCUCAGAAAAGGCUUCCAUUAUAAAGCCAAUCAGAUUUAAUUCAUGGCAGACAACAAGUGACUUUAUUCCAAUCUUAAGACAAAAGUUCGAAACAAUCAUUCUUAAAUCAGAGUUAUUGAAAGAUUUAAAGCUUGUUUGGUACAGAUUUUCCAUGGGAAAGAUGAUUUUUUAGGAGAAUAAGUGGUUAAAAGUGGGGAGAAGUUGUAGAUUCCAUAUAAUGUGGGGGUGAAAAUGAUUUUGUGGAAAAUUGAUUUUAAAUAAAUCUUUGACAAACAAGUUUUCAAUAUAAAGAGGUAAAAGUGUGCCAGUUCUUCAGGCUGUUAAUGCCACUUCAUAAAAAUAAACCAACAAGGAAUGUUCGUUAACAAUAUCGGACACAAUGUAUAAAUUUGAACAGCUCAAGUACAGACUAAAUUCAGAAUGUAUGAUGAUAUACAAGUGUUGCAAUUGCCACUUAUAAAGAUUAGAUCACUCCAUUGACAUUCACAAAGUUAAAGUUUAAUGACUUCUCACUAAAAAGUAAAUAGCGAUAACUGAGACAUAAAAAACACAUAUAUUAGUUUAUGCUUUUUAAUCAGUUUAUUUAGAUGUUGAUCAAUUUGUGUGGUUUUUAGUUUUUCAGUCAAAGGGAUUCUGAGAAUUCUAAAAUUGCAGAUAAAUCUGCAUUAGUGUUAAGAGACUUAUUUCAAGGCCUUUCACAUUUUAGAGACAGAUUAGGAGUUACAAGUUGAAUCUUAGAAGGCUUAUCUUAUGAUUCUUUAUUUGAGUCUAAUUCCAGUUGAAGUAGAUUUCUCUGAGCCUGUAAAUAGACAUCUAACUUUCAUAAUCCAAAGGAUUUUGGAUGAAUUCUUUAUCAUCAAGAGUUCUGAGUCUUCCUUGUGAUUAGAAGCAUGUUUAGGAAAUAAGAUUUGGAGCUUAUAAGCUCCUGAUCCUCCCAAACAGGCUAGAGGUGACGCAAUCCAUCCGUAGGGAUGAUGCCCACAAAAUUCUGAAUGAUUCCUAAAUUUUUUU